GGCCGACGUACUUUAAAAUGGCCAAAAACGUGAAAAGUCUCAUUAUUUUUGCACCCGAUUGUACAGGAGUUAAUUAACUCGAAUGGUAUGAAACAACUGGGAAAAAAGGCACUUCAUGCCGUAUACAAUAUAAGACAAGUUGAAACAACAACUCAACCUACACAAUCUAACCCAAAACUAGCUAUCAGAAUAUUUGGUACCAUAAUAUGACCAAUUCUUUUAUACAAC